rnacentral:rRNA from 1 species
AUUGAACGCUGGCGGCAUGCCUUACACAUGCAAGUCGAACGGUAACGGGCCUUCGGGUGCCGCCGAGUGGCGAACGGGUGAGUAAUACAUCGGAACGUGCCCGAUCGUGGGGGAUAACGAGGCGAAAGCUUUGCUAAUACCGCAUACGAUCUACGGAUGAAAGCAGGGGACCGCAAGGCCUUGCGCGGACGGAGCGGCCGAUGGCAGAUUAGGUAGUUGGUGGGAUAAAAGCUUACCAAGCCGACGAUCUGUAGCUGGUCUGAGAGGAUGAUCAGCCACACUGGGACUGAGACACGGCCCAGACUCCUACGGGAGGCAGCAGUGGGGAAUUUUGGACAAUGGGCGCAGGCCUGAUCCAGCCAUGCCGCGUGCAGGAUGAAGGCCUUCGGGUUGUAAACUGCUUUUGUACGGAACGAAAAGCCUUCUUUUAAUACAGGAGGGUCAUGACGGUACCGUAAGAAUAAGCACCGGCUAACUACGUG